UAUACCAAAAUUCAAACGAACUCUAAAAUUAAACAAAAAAAUGAAAUGCACCUCAACAUCACCACCGCAAGAUGAAAUGCACCACAACAGAUUAAUAAUAAUAAAUUGAAAAUCACAAUCUAACUCAAAGUUUUUGAUAUGAUAUGAUAUUAAAAAAUUAAACUGAUGUUGUCAUCUAUAUACAUAUAGUGUUUUCUCAAAUAUUUUGUAGAGAACAUCAUUUACAUUUAGAGUUAUGAAUUCAUCUGCUAUGAAAUUCUACACCAUUUUCAUGUUCUUCUCUCUUGUCAUCAUUCUUCUUAUUUCCACAUGUGAGUCAAUGGGAAUAUUUCAACGUCGUUGUAGAAUGACAAGUCAUGCAUGGGAAGGAAAGCGUUGUCAUUUUGAUAUCUUGAGUAACUCAAAAUGUAAUUCAAUAUGCGUCAACCUGGAGCAUGCAAUGUCUGGUGCUUGUGAAUAUAAUCCUCGUUCUUACUCAGUUACUACAACUUGUUACUGCAACUACAAUUGCAGCAAAUACAGAACUUGGUAAUUAGUUUAAAUUAAAAGAAGUCGAAAGUUGAACCAAACUACUUAUUAAUCAACUUUCGGCUUCUUUUAUGUUGGUGGA